rnacentral:rRNA from 1 species
AUUGAACGCUGGCGGCAGGCUUAACACAUGCAAGUCGAGCGGGGUGAUGGUGCUUGCACUAUCACUUAGCGGCGGACGGGUGAGUAAUGCUUAGGAAUCUGCCUAUUAGUGGGGGACAACAUCUCGAAAGGGAUGCUAAUACCGCAUACGUCCUACGGGAGAAAGCAGGGGAUCACUUGUGACCUUGCGCUAAUAGAUGAGCCUAAGUCGGAUUAGCUAGUUGGUGGGGUAAAGGCCUACCAAGGCGACGAUCUGUAGCGGGUCUGAGAGGAUGAUCCGCCACACUGGGACUGAGACACGGCCCAGACUCCUACGGGAGGCAGCAGUGGGGAAUAUUGGACAAUGGGCGGAAGCCUGAUCCAGCCAUGCCGCGUGUGUGAAGAAGGCCUUAUGGUUGUAAAGCACUUUAAGCGAGGAGGAGGCUACUUAGAUUAAUACUCUAGGAUAGUGGACGUUACUCGCAGAAUAAGCACCGGCUAACUCUGUGCCAGCCGCCGCAGUAA